CUCUGUGGCAAUGCCGAGAGGGUCACACCCGUUCCCAUCCCGAACACGGAAGUUAAG
rnacentral:rRNA from 1 species